rnacentral:lncRNA from 1 species
GAAAAUUGAGUCAGAUGGAAUAAGGUUAAAAUUAAUUAAUUUCCGGUCUUAAAUUGAUUUUAAUUUCUUUAAAGUUUCAAAAUUCUUGGAUUUACUUUUUUAUUGGUGUGAAUGGGCUAUCUUCUACGGCCUCUCGUUGUAGUAAUGGGCCACAAUCCCUUACACUUUGGUUCAACGGCCCAACUGAGCUGGCUUGGCAAGCAAACCGGCCCAAGAGCCUGAAAUUGACUUCUCGAUAUUUUCUUUAUUAUAAUGAGAAAAUAUGUAUAUCUCGCUUGUUUACAUUGCGAAAGAAAAAUAAAACAAAAAAUAAAUACCAUUUACAAAUUUUCAAGGAACAUGCUCAGGAGGGACGAUGAGAACAAACACAAAACUGCUAUAAAUUUUUUGAAAAUUUCCACUCUAGAUAUCUAACGAUGAUAAAAGACGAUAAAGUGUUUCAUAAAGAAGAGCGAUGUACGAUCUUCCUUAUUUUAUUAUUGGACUUGCAAGAUCAAGAAAGAUACCAUAUUAUGGUAUAUGAUGACCUUUUUUGCUUUAUUCUUAGACUUGCAAGGUCAAGAAAAGUCAAAACAUUUUUAUAAAAAUCUAAGAAGAAUAAGCUCAGGAGAGAUAUCGUCGAACCAUCUAAACAGCCAUCCUACUCGACUUGUUGCCGCCAUCAAGGUCAUGAUCAUCAUCAUCUAGUUGUGGUGGUUGAGCCAUGUUGAGGAACAAGAAUGGUUGUUGGUGUUUUCUAGGGUUUGUGAGAGAGGAAAGAGAGUGGUUAGAGACUCUUUUGACCUUUAGGUUUUC